UACGAAGGGUGCAAACGUUGCUCGGAAUUAUUGGGCGUAAAGGGCGCGUAGGCGGCAUGGCAAGUGGAUGGUGAAAUCCCUCGGCUUAACCGAGGAACUGCCGUCCAAACUGCUUCGCUUGAGACCGGGAGAGGUGAGUGGAAUUCCCAGUGUAGCGGUGAAAUGCGUAGAUAUUGGGAGGAACACCAGUGGCGAAGGCGGCUCGCUGGACCGGUACUGACGCUGAUGCGCGAAAGCGUGGGGAGCAAACGGG
rnacentral:rRNA from 1 species